GAUCAUUAACGAGUGAGGGUCUCUCAGGCCCGACCUCCCAACCCUUUGAUUACUGAACCUCUGUUGCUUCGGUGGACCCGCCUUCACCGGCCACCGGAGGACCGCCGCGAGGCAUCCUCUGGUCCGCGUCCGCCGAUAGCCAACCUAUUAAACUCUUGAAUAACCAUGUCGUAUGUCUAAGUCAAUUGAUAAAUUAAAGCAAAACUUUCAACAACGGAUCUCUUGGUUCUGGCAUCGAUGAAGAACGCAGCGAAAUGCGAUAAGUAAUGCGAAUUGCAGAAUUCCAGUGAGUCAUCGAAUCUUUGAACGCACAUUGCGCCCUUUGGUAUUCCGAAGGGCAUGCCUGUUCGAGCGUCAUUAUCAACCCUCAAGCCUGUGCUUGAUGUUGGACGGCUUGGUCGAGUCCCCGGACUGGACCCCUCCUAAAGACAAUGACGGCGACCUGUGGUUCCCCCGGUACACUGAGCUCUUAACUAGGCACGUGUCGGACAAGGGCGCCCAGGACCCGGUCUCCCCCGUGCCUCCCGGCACACUUUUCAAGGUUGACCUCGGAUCAGGUAGGAAUACGCGCUGAACUUAAGCAUAUCAAUAAGCGCAGGAAAAGAAACCAACAGGGAUUGCCUCAGUAACGGCGAGUGAAGCGGCAAUAGCUCAAAUUUGAAAUCUGGCCUCUUGGGGUCCGAGUUGUAAUUUGUAGAGGAUGUUUCGGGUACCGCCCCGGUCUAAAUUUCUUGGAACAGAAUGUCAAAGAGGGUGAGAGUCCCGUCUUGGACCGGCGGUAGGGCCUAUGUGAAACUCCUUCGACGAGUCGAGUUGUUUGGGAAUGCAGCUCAAAAUGGGUGGUAAAUUUCAUCUAAAGCUAAAUAUUGGCCAGAGACCGAUAGCGCACAAGUAGAGUGAUCGAAAGAUGAAAAGCACUUUGAAAAGAGAGUUAAACAGUAUGUGAAAUUGUUGAAAGGGAAGCGCUUGCAACCAGACUUGAGCGCGGCGGUUCCCCUAGCCUUUUGGCUAGGCUACUCCGUCGUGUCCAGGCCAACAUCGGUUCUGAGUGUCGGUUAAAGGCCCUGGCAAUGUACCUACCCUCGGGUAGACUUAUAGGUCAGGGUGUCAUGCGACACCUCGGGACCGAGGAACGC
rnacentral:rRNA from 1 species